rnacentral:rRNA from 1 species
CUGAGUUUUAAAGGGCUGCGGUAAUUUGACCGUGCAAAGGUAGCAUAAUCAAUAGUCUUUUAAUUGGGGGCUUGAAUGAAAGGUUUGACGGAAGGGAAACUGUCUUUCUGAUUUAUAUUGAAUUUAACUUUUGUGUGAAAAGGCAUUAAUGGUUUAAAGGGACGAUAAGACCCUAUAAAACUUUAUAUAUUAUAUUAUUUAACUAAAGUGUUAUAUUAAUUGUUAAAUAGUUAAUUGUAUUUUGCUGGGGCGGCAAAAAUAUAACUGUAACUGUUUAAGAUAUGAAAUAUUUAUUAAUAAAAAAUGGUCCUUUAUUAAGGAGAUAAGAGUAAGUUACUUUAGGGAUAACAGCAUAAUUUCUUUAGAGAGUUCUUAUCGAAGAAGUUAGUUGUGACCUCGAUGUUGAAUUAAAUUUUCCUUUAGGUGUAGGAGUUUAAAGGG